rnacentral:rRNA from 1 species
CGCGGCCUAUCAGCUUGUUGGUGUGGUAACGGCUCACCAAGGCAUCGACGGGUAGCUGGUCUGAGAGGAUGAUCAGCCACACUGGGACUGAGACACGGCCCAGACUCCUACGGGAGGCAGCAGUAGGGAAUCUUGCGCAAUGGGCGAAAGCCUGACGCAGCAACGCCGCGUGGGGGAUGAAUGCCUUCGGGUUGUAAACCCCUUUCAGCAGGGACGAAAUUGACGGUACCUGCAGAAGAAGGUCCGGCCAACUACGUGCCAGCAGCCGCGGUAAUACGUAGGGACCAAGCGUUGUCCGGAAUUAUUGGGCGUAAAGAGCUCGUAGGCGGUUCAGUAAGUCGGGUGUGAAAACUCAAGGCUCAACCUUGAGACGCCACUCGAUACUGCUGUGACUUGAGUCCGGUAGAGGAGUGUGGAAUUCCUGGUGUAGCGGUGAAAUGCGCAGAUAUCAGGAGGAACACCAGCGGCGAAGGCGGCACUCUGGGCCGGUACUGACGCUGAGGAGCGAAAGCAUGGGGAGCAAACAGGAUUAGAUACCCUGGUAGUCCAUGCCGUAAACGUUGGGCACUAGGUAUGGGACCAUAUCAACGGGUUCCGUGCCGUAGCUAACGCAUUAAGUGCCCCGCCUGGGGAGUACGG